CUGACCAGCAUUGUUGCUCCUGGUUCGGGAGAAAAGACUGUCGAAGAAACUGUGCCGAUCGAAGAAGCUGCACUGAUAGGUGUAUAAAUUUAUCCAUAGAAAUAUUAAUUUAUGGAUCAAAUUAUCUUUAUUCUUUUAAAAUUGAUACUUUUUCGUAUAUUUUACAGAAAAGAGCUACACCAACAUGAAGAGCCCGAUCUGCAGGCUUAGAGGGAUCAAACGAGACUAAAAAUGGAGUUAAAAUGGAUUUAAAUUCAAAG
rnacentral:lncRNA from 1 species